GCAGCACGCGACCUGUUUCAGCUCUAGCAUUGCGCAUCCUCGUACUGUCGACUGUACUAUCGAGUUUAUACUGAAUUGACAUUUUGGACUAUAAAGUCAUACAGAGCUCAGGGUGGGCCCACAUCCAGGACCGGUCCUCAUCACUGUCCCAAUGGAGGGCUAUCCCAAGCCUGAGGCCAUCGCCCCCUCCUCCCUCUUCCCUGCAUCUACCUCAGGAGGAUGUUCUAUUUUUGACAGGACUACGUGUUGAUCUGUGGCCUGGCAAAGGAAAAAAACAGUAUUUUUUUUUAUGUGCCAGCACUCUUCCUGAGGCGCAGCAGCACAGCCCACAUCUGUCACUCCUACAUAAAACAGCAUGUCAUCAUGAGUAGUAUGCAGUCACCCUCCAUCUCAAACAUAUUGUACCUUCCCAGGCCACGAGGCCCCCGUAAGACCCCCUCACCCCCACCUCGCUUCAUAGCUUGUGGAUGUUUUCCUCUCUUGUAAUGUUUGUGCAGAUCAUCACCCAUCACCUGAUUCAUGAUGUGUCACUUUUUGUCUGGUUGGACUUGUACACUUGGCCUUGGCAGUUAGUUUUUAAACUAGAUGAGAUUUUUUCAUGUCAUCUGGGAUUUGAACGGUCAGGUUCUGUGGCACGACAGCGCUGACAAAUAAAAUGGCAGGAUUUUAUUUUAAUUUCACUCACACUGACCCCAAUUGUGAUGGCACUUCCCUGAAUUCAUAAAUGUUUGUAAAAAGCUUUUUAGAUUUACCCACCACUUCUACACAUUUCUUUUUAUUGCACUAUAUUUGAUUUGCACAUUGACAAGGACAAAAGGGCUUAUAUUUUAAUCAUUUGAAUGUUUUUCUUGCAAGGCAAGAAAUUUUACUGUGAGAGUUAAAUGUAUGUUUUGUGAAUACUUUAAUGGGAACAGAAGAUUCUUGGUGGCAGCCGUGAAUAUUCAUGCUUGUUCCUUCGAAGAAACACUCCACCUCAGGCCUUACAAUAUGACACAUUUCCAGCUGUCUUGCUGCCGAUAGGGCAUCUGCGUGUUAUGGGUUAAGCUGAUCUUCAAGCUAGAUGAGUAAUUAAUUUAUUUACUCAUUAAAGAGGAGAAGUAUUUAAAAGAAUAUGGCUAUUUUCAGUUUUGUGCCUCACAAGAUUAAGUAAAAUGCUAAUCAUUGUGUUGUCACAUACAGAAGCUGACAGUCUCACAAAAGUGAUAAGUGAAUCGCACAAAACCUGUCAAGUCAAAAGAGAGGGAAAAAAAAGGGUAACACUUUAAUAUGGGGAAUACAUAUUCACUAUUAACUAUGACUUUUCCCUCAAUAAACUUCUAAUUUACUGCUUAUUAAGAGUUAAAGGGUUAUUUCACCCAAAAAUGAAAAUUCUGUAAAUUCUGUUCUCACCCUCAUGUCGUUCCACACCUGUAAGACCUUCGUUCAUCUUCGGAACACAAAUUAAGAUAUUUUUGAUGAAAUCCGAGAGGUGUAUGACUCGUCCAUAGACAGCAAUAUAAUCAACACUUUCAAGGUCCAGAAAGGUACUAAAGACAUUGUUAAAAUAGUAGACAUAGGGUGACCAGACGUCCCGUUUUUCCCGGGACAGUCCCAUAUUUCAGAUCUAUUUUUAGU